AGCAGCCGCGGUAAUUCCAGCUCCAAUAGCGUAUAUUAAAGUUGUUGCAGUUAAAAAGCUCGUAGUUGAAUUUCGGGAUCAAUACGUCGGUCGUGCUUUCGGGUACGUACUGGCGUCAUUGGUUUCUCCUUUCUGACGAACCAUGAUGUCAUUAAUUUGGUGUUAUGGGGAGUUAGGACUGUUACUUUGAAAAAAUUAGAGUGUUUAAAGCAGGCAUUAGCUUGAAUACAUUAGCAUGGAAUAAUGAAAUAGGACGUUCGAUCCUAUUUUGUUGGUUUCUAGGAUCAACGUAAUGAUUAAUAGGGAUAGUUGGGAGCAUUAGUAUUCAAUUGUCAGAGGUGAAAUUCUUGGAUUUAUUGAAGACUAACUACUGCGAAAGCAUUUGCCAAGGAUGUUUUCAUUAAUCAAGAGCGAAAGUUAGGGGAUCGAAGACGAUCAGAUACCGUCGUAGUCUUAACCAUAAACUAUGCCGACUAGGGAUCGGAUGAUGUA
rnacentral:rRNA from 1 species